AUCGUUUAUUUUCAAAUAUUCACUAAUAAACAUUAAAAUCUGUUCUUAUCAGUUUAAUUUCUGAUAGGUCCUUGUUGUGAGGACUGUAUAUUAACUUGGUUUUUCAAAAAGAGGGGGGUUAGAGAAGAAGCUUGUUUUGUCUGUCCCAUGCAUUGACUUGGUAUUGCAGUGCCUUCAGGAACAGUGUAUCUCCU